rnacentral:rRNA from 1 species
UACGUAGGGGGCAAGCGUUGUCCGGAAUUAUUGGGCGUAAGGAGCGCGUAGGCGGUCUGAUGAGUCGGUUGUGAAAGUCGGGGGCUCAACCCUCGAAUGCCGAUCGAUACUGUCAGGCUAGAGUCCGGAAGAGGCGAGUGGAAUUCCUGGUGUAGCGGUGAAAUGCGCAGAUAUCAGGAGGAACACCAAUGGCGAAGGCAGCUCGCUGGGACGGUACUGACGCUGAGGCGCGAAAGCGUGGGGAGCAAACAGG